rnacentral:RNase_P_RNA from 1 species
AAGCAUUAAUCGGUAGCUGCAUAAUCUUAUGUAGAGGAAAGUCCGUGCUAGCACCACCUGCGAUGGUGGUAGUGUUCAUGUUAAGCCUAAUAAGCUUAAGCUUAGACGACAAGUGCCACAGAGACGAGUGUAGUGAAACGAGGUAAACUCCAUGAGCUAGAAACCCAAAUUUUGGUAGGGGAACUAGAGAUAGUAAAUGAACAAUUCUCUGGAAUGUUUAUAACAUUAGAUAAAUUACCGAUGCUUUUUCUAUGAAAAAGAACAGAACACGGCUUAUUAUG